UGCUUGUAGGAUUACCUAGAACUGGCAAUUUCUCACUUUCAUGUUACUUGGUACAUUGCUUCACUUUCUUUGAAAUUGCAUAUCUUUUGCAAGAAUUGUUUAAAGAGUUGUCACAUGUCAAUUUUUGUUUCUAUUAGAUUUGGAUGCUACCCUGUUUCUUUUAAUUUUUGUUCUUUCUUAUGGUAGAAUAUGGGCUUCAGUAUGCUAUGUUACAUGAGUGCUUCAACUGGACCUGGUACUUGCAUCAAGGAAGUGAUUUGGCAAGGUGAGAUUGCUGGAGUAAAUGCGGCUUUGGAUACAUUCAAGGCUGAAAAGGCAUUUCUUAUGCGCAGAAUUCGUGAGAUCCUUCCAAAAAUGAUUGAUGAGACAAUCUGCAUGUAAAUGGAAGACAUUUUCCCACCCUUUGUCCCUAUCAAUGGCUGGCUUCUACUAUUGUACAGCCGCCCACAUGAAGUGGCCGACACAUUGUUGCGGAUGAGGAUGUACAUGUGGGACAAUAAUAGCACAUCAUGUUGAGAAUUAUUACAGCUGUCAUACAGUGUUUGCCCACUUUCGGAUGGCGCGUGUUACAGAUACAUUGUCAUAAAAAACAUGUU